AAUGAACGCUGGCGGCAGGCCUAAAACAUGCAAGUCGAGCGCCCAGCAAUGGGAGCGGCAGACGGGUGAGUAACGCGUGGGGAUCUGCCCAAUGGUACGGAAUAACCCAGGGAAACUUGGAUUAAUACCGUAUGUGCCCUUCGGGGGAAAGAUUUAUCGCCAUUGGAUGAACCCGCGUCGGAUUAGCUAGUUGGUGUGGUAAAGGCGCACCAAGGCGACGAUCCGUAGCUGGUCUGAGAGGAUGAUCAGCCACACUGGGACUGAGACACGGCCCAGACUCCUACGGGAGGCAGCAGUGGGGAAUACUGGACAAUGGGCGCAAGCCUGAUCCAGCCAUGCCGCGUGUGUGAUGAAGGCCUUAGGGUUGUAAAGCACUUUCGCCGGUGAAGAUAAUGACGGUAACCGGAGAAGAAGCCCCGGCUAACUUCGUGCCAGCAGCCGCCGUAAUAC
rnacentral:rRNA from 1 species